UACUCUUUUAAGACAUUACCAGAGACAGUAGCCGGGAAUCAAACGAAACCCUUAAUCAGCUACCGAGGAUGAAUACAAACAUUUUCACGAUAAGUCUUUGGUAAUGCGAGAAUCAAAGACUUUUUUGUUUUUGCA
rfam:Candidatus Saccharibacteria bacterium GW2011_GWC2_44_17, complete genome.